AUUCAAUCCCAAAUUCAUUUUUGUUAUUUUUUAACCUAAUCAGUUCUUUCUUCACAGCAGCCAGUUCGUCUUCUCUGCAGCAGCCAAUUCAUUUGUGUUAUCUGUGUUCCGAUUCAUCUCGAGUAUGCUCAUUGCCUCAUUCUUCCUCGCCUUCAAGCCAAACGCAAACGAGACACUUCAACUGCUCCAAUCCAUGUUUGACGUGCUUCCACACGAUAUCACAGUCGAAUGAAACGGUCGAGAUUGCGUCUUCAUCCUCUGGGAAACUUAUUAUUGAAGAUGAUGAUGACAAGGAUGACGAUGAUGAGGAUGAUGAUGACAAAGAUGAAGAUGACGUUGAAGAUAAAUUGUACAGAUUGAUUCAAAUUCCAGUCUCUAUUGUUCAAAUACACAUUUGUUUAAGACUGAGCUCUCUAGGGUUCUAUAUGAAAUCAAUAUUGAUGUUAAUUAGCUUUCAUGCUAUCAUAUUCUGUGAACUGUGUUUGAGAGAUGUCAGACAUUCAAAAGAAAUGAUUUCCUCACAAAAUUUAAAGAAUACUCAAUUAACUAAUUUGUUUUUCAAGUACAUGUAAUGAAGAAGAUUAUGUUUGACUAAAUGUGACAACAUUUUGAGAAGAUGGCAGGUCAAGUUGAUGCAACUAGCAGAUUAAAGCAAAGCAGAAGCGAGAAAAAGAGCAGGAAGGCAAUGCUUAAGCUUGGAAUGAAGUUCAUUCCUGGUGUCAGCAGAGUAACUGUGAAGAAGAGCAAAAAAACAGAUUUGGAGUUCUAAACUGCAACCCAUCAUCCAAAGAGUUCUUUCUGUUCAUUUUUUUGGAUCAUGUGGGUAAAGAGAUUAUGUAAAAAGCUCUUGAAAUAGAAGAUAAUACUACUAAAGAGAAGAGAGGAGGCUGAAAGUGAAAGCAAUCAUAAAAAUCUGUAAUUUUUCUUCUUCUUCUUAUUAAUUUUUGAAUAAUAAUAAUAAUAAGAGAGAAGGAGAAGAAGAAGUUGUUGUCUGUUUCCUGAUUCUUGAAUGGAUCUGGUUGGUUGGUUAAGUAGUGAGCAAUGGUGACUGGAAAAUGGUAUAAGAAGAGGAGCUGUGUUUAAUGGGAGAAAUCAGGAAAGAAAAACAUUGGCAACUUUUCUGGCUAUGUGUGGUUGACUUGUUUUUAAAUAAGAGCAAGACCUUCCGGUUUCCGUCUAUGGAUCG